ACCUUCGUGAAAAAUGCUCUGUCUCAACCGGAAAGAUAAAUAGCACGUACCAAGGGUUGAGCAUCCAGUACCUACAAUAUUACCAACUCCAAAGUGAAAGAGAGAGAGAGAGAGAGAGAGAAAAUGGCCAUGGCAACGAAGUCAGUUUCUACUCUAGUCAUCUUUUUGGUCCUGGCUCUGGCCAUCAAUGUCUAUGCAGAAAUGCCAAAGACAGAAGCGAGUAAAGCCGCGUGCCUGAGAGAAUACGUCGAUGCGUCUCCAUUCUUUUGUAUGGAUAGGAUUUAUCCGUCAUUGUGUUAUUAUAAAUGCCGUUCGGACGAGGGUGCUAAAGGUGGCAAAUGCGAUGAUCUUACAUGCUACUGCGAUUUCUGCAGCAAGGAACCUAAUUUCGAACAGUUUCUAAGAACCGUUGUUUGAAUCUUGCGUGUAUAAUGUAAUAAUUAUCAAAUGUAAGCGUUGCAAGAAAUAAUGUUGCAAUGAUUAAUAAUAAUAAGAAACGCUAGAUGUUUCACGUUUGCUUAUGAA